AUUUGCAUCAUGGCGGCUUCCAUUUCGGGCUACACCUUCAGCGCUGUGUGUUUCCACAGCGCCAACAGCAACGCUGACCACGAAGGAUUUUUGCUGGGAGAGGUAAGGCAAGAGGAAACCUUUAGCAUCAGCGACUCACAAAUCAGUAACACAGAAUUUCUGCAAGUAAUUGCAAACAUCUAUUGAAGAACUUCCUUGAUUGAAGCAUGUGCUAGGCAGAGAAAGGAAUAUCCAGAUACAUCCCUGUCUUCUGGAAUUACGGGGAGGUUAAGACAGGUAAACAGAAAUACCAGAUAGUGCAAGAUGAAUGUUGUAAGAACGAAGCAAAGAAAGUCCCAUUAAGUGUGUGAACAUGAGAGAAGAACUGCUAGUGGAGAAAUCAGGAAGGACAUUUUAAAGAAGGCAAAUGCAAGGCCAGAGGACUGCACAUUCAGGGCAGCAGAGAGCACGGAGUGCAUAAGACAAGGGAAUCUGGCCUGCUUCUCUGUGACUAAAAUUCAGGAUAUAUGAAGGCAAGUGGCUUGUGAUUGGAAAUACUGCUGGCAAGUUAGGUCACAUUGGGAUCAAGUCAUCAGCUUCAAGCCUGGUCUGAUAGCCUUCAAGUAUGUGGAAUAGGGGACAAGGGUAAGGAUAGAGUUGAGGUGUCUUCAAAAGAGUCAAGACUAUGAAAGCCUGUCACCACAAUUCUGCAAUCUAAGUAAAAACUUGUUAUGUGUGCAGGGUUUAGUUCAUCUUUAAUUGAAGUGGUUUUGAUUUAUUUUCUAAAAUCCUAAAGUGGAGGAUUUUAUUUCAUAGGACAUCCAUCCAUGUAGUUAUUUGUAAUUUGUAUCUGGGUUUUCAAAAAUGAUCUGGGAAAUAAAGGUUAAAUUGCCAGAUGAAGCUAGCUGACAGUAAAAAUCACACUUCUGGUGAAUAUUCUGCCUUUUUUUGUUGUUGUUGUUUGUUUGUUUUCAUAGUGCUGGGGAUUGAACUCAGAGUCUUAUACAUGCUAAGCAAGCACUCUACCACUGAGCCACAUAUCCAGCCUGUAUUCACUUUUAAAGAAACAGUGGUAAUGAAAACUCUUCUAUCCAAGUAAUGCAAAUUCUACAUAGCAUAAUGUUCUGAUUCUUUGAUCCCUAAGCAUUCUGGAUUUUGUUCAGUUUCCAUGGUAUUCCAGAUAUGGAGAAAUACCUCUCAAUAGAGUCCCAGUU